rnacentral:rRNA from 1 species
AGUUGAGCACUUUAGUGAGACUGCCACGGUUAACGUGGAGGAAGGUGGGGACGACGUCAAAUCAUCAUGCCCCUUAUGUCUAGGGCUACACACGAGAUACAAUGGUGAGUACAAAGAGAUGCAAUACCGUGAGGUGGAGCCAAACUCAAAAACUCAUCCCAGUUCGGAUUGUAGGCUGAAACUCGCCUACAUGAAGCCGGAGUUGCUAGUAAUCGCGAAUCAGCAUGUCGCGGUGAAUACGUUCCCGGGCCUUGUACACACCGCCCGUCACACCAUGAGAGCUGGUAACACCCGAAGUCCGUGAGGUAACCCGCAAGGGAGCCAGCGGCCGAAGGUGGGAUCAGUGGUUGGGGUGAAGUCGUAACAAGGUAGCCGUA